rnacentral:lncRNA from 1 species
GCCCAGGCCCGCCACCUGUGCCGGCCCCACCUGGGGUCCCCAGGCCCUCCCGGUCUCCCUCAGUCGGCCCGCAGGACUCCGCACGCCCCCUCCCCACAGGACACCCGGCCGGCCGCAGCCCAUUCUUCCUCCAAACUCCAUAAGCCUCUUCCACUCGCCCAGCCCCAGCUCCGCGCCGCGCCCGACUCGCCCCGGGCGGCCGAGGGGAAGAGGCCGGGCGUCCGCGGCGGGUCCCGACCCACCCGGCCCGCAACGCCCCUCGCCUGGCCGCGAAGCCGUUCCUGCGGCCGGCGCCCCGAGAGCCCUCGGAAGCCCCCGAGCGAGCGGGGGCCCGGAGGCCGGGGCUGCGGGCGCCGGGGCCUACUCACCGGGAGCUGGCGGAGCGUGGUAGCCGGCGCGCCCCCGGGCCUGCGGAGCAGGACGCGGCCCCGGCGCGCGUCCCUACCCCGGGACCUCGCUCGGCGCGGCGAGCCGGGAGCUCACUCCAGCCGCCGCCGCCGCCGCCGCUGCUGCUUCGCCACCUUGGCCGCCAUCUUGACUCAACCCCUCUCCCUCCCCCCCCGCCCGGCUCGGGCGGCCGCGGCUAAGGCGGCUCCGGCGCCGGCUCCUCCUCCUUCCGGAGGGCUGGGAGACCGACUCCCUCCGCUGGCCGAGCGCGGCUCCUACCUCGGCCGAGCUUCCUGGCUCGCCCCACGCCAGGUCCCCCUUAGGUCUCCCCUCGGCCUGGCGGCGGCGGUCCCCUCGAGCCGAGACGGGCCGGGGCCGCGCCCCGCCCGGCCGGACCCAGUGCGCUGCCAUCGCGCACUCGGGCCGGGAGCGCCCGCCGCCGGCCGGCCGGCCGGCCGGUCCCCGCGCGCUCGGGGCCUUCCGCCCCCCGAGGCGUGGGAAAGGGAAGGACGCAUGGCCAUGCCUCGGGCCCUGCGACCCCUUCGCGGCCAGACGAGACGGCGGCCGCCUGCUCGGGCGCCGGGCUGCAGGAAGGGAAGUCAGGUCCCCAGUGCUGGGAGCCAGAGGGGUGCACAUCGACCUCCCCAAGACACUUGCCAGGGCUGCGGCUGUAAUUCGCAACGGGACUUCCCUGAUUUGUCAGGCGAUGCUGAUCUGCCCAUGAUGUUCCUUAAUCUAAAGUCACACUCGUCGGAAGAGCCUGUGGCCCUCACGACUACGAAGUGCGCUCUCCCAGCCUGA